rnacentral:rRNA from 1 species
UGGUCUUGACAUAUUUAUGAUCGCUGUAGAAAUACAGUUUCCCUUCGGGGCAUUUAUACAGGUGCUGCAUGGCUGUCGUCAGCUCGUGCUGUGAAGUGUUCGGUUAAGUCCGGCAACGAGCGCAACCCACGUCACUAUUUGCCAUCAGGUAAUGCUGGGAACUAUAGUGAGACUGCCCGUGUUAAACGGGAGGAAGGCGUGGACGACGUCAAGUCAGUAUGGCCCUUAUGACCAGGGCUGCACACGUGCUACAAUGGUCGGUUCAGAGGGACGCAAUACCGCGAGGUGGAGCAAAUCCGUAAAGCCGGCCCUAGUUCGGAUUGUAGUCUGCAACUCGACUACAUGAAGUUGGAAUCGCUAGUAAUCGUAGAUCAGCUAUGCUACGGUGAAUACGUUCCCGGGUCU